GUGCGUGUGUGUAAAGAAGGAGAUUAGGACAUUUAGAGAAGGAGGGCGGGGAGGAGAGAUCCUGAGAAUAGAAAGGAGGAAAGAAAAAAAGAGGAAUGGAAAGAGACAGAGAAAGGAAAUGGGAGUGGAAGGAGGGAGGACUGCUUUGUAACUGCUAAGAUUGCAGACAGAAAUAGCACACAACCACUGUGAGCUGUAUGCGAUUCAGAAACCAAGACCAAAUUUUGCUCACUUUCAUUAAUCAGUUGCUCAGAUAGAAGGAAAUGACAUCUGGUUCUGUCUUCUUCUACAUCUUAAUUUUUGGAAAAUAUUUUUCUCAUGGGGGUGGACAGGAUGUCAAGUGCUCCCUUGGCUAUUUCCCCUGUGGGAACAUCACAAAGUGCUUGCCUCAGCUCCUGCACUGUAACGGUGUGGACGACUGCGGGAAUCAGGCCGAUGAGGACAACUGUGGUGAGUGAAGCCCCUGCAGUCACGGAGACAACAAUGGAUGGUCUCUGCAAUUUGACAAAUAUUUUGCCAGUUACUACAAAAUGACUUCCCAAUAUCCUUUUGAGGCAGAAACACCUGAAUGUUCUUUUCAUUUCUUUCUUUUCAUUACCCUCCUCUUCCUGGUCCCUCACUGUCAUCAUGCCUUACCACUUCCCCUUGAUUCAGUGGUCGGUUCUGUGCCAGUGCAAUGUCUUUGCCAAGGUCUGGAGCUUGACUGUGAUGAAACCAAUUUACGAGCUGUUCCAUCGGUUUCUUCAAAUGUGACUGCAAUGUCACUUCAGUGGAACUUAAUAAGAAAGCUUCCUCCUGAUUGCUUCAAGAAUUAUCAUGAUCUUCAGAAGCUGUACCUGCAAAACAAUAAGAUUACAUCCAUCUCCAUCUAUGCUUUCAGAGGACUGAAUAGCCUUACUAAACUGUAUCUCAGUCAUAACAGAAUAACCUUCCUGAAGCCGGGUGUUUUUGAAGAUCUUCACAGACUAGAAUGGCUGAUAAUUGAAGAUAAUCACCUCAGUCGAAUUUCCCCACCAACAUUUUAUGGACUAAAUUCUCUUAUUCUCUUAGUCCUGAUGAAUAACGUCCUCACCCGUUUACCUGAUAAACCUCUCUGUCAACACAUGCCAAGACUACAUUGGCUGGACCUUGAAGGCAACCAUAUCCAUAAUUUAAGAAAUUUGACUUUUAUUUCCUGCAGUAAUUUAACUGUUUUAGUGAUGAGGAAAAACAAAAUUAAUCACUUAAAUGAAAAUACUUUUGCACCUCUCCAGAAACUGGAUGAAUUCAGCCUAGAAGGGAUUGAAAUUUCAAAUAUCCAACAAAGGAUGUUUAGACCUCUUAUGAAUCUCUCUCACAUAUAUUUUAAGAAAUUCCAGUACUGUGGGUAUGCACCACAUGUUCGCAGCUGUAAACCAAACACUGAUGGAAUUUCAUCUCUAGAGAAUCUCUUGGCAAGCAUUAUUCAGAGAGUAUUUGUCUGGGUUGUAUCUGCAGUUACCUGCUUUGGAAACAUUUUUGUCAUUUGCAUGCGACCUUAUAUCAGGUCUGAGAACAAGCUGUAUGCCAUGUCAAUCAUUUCUCUCUGCUGUGCCGACUGCUUAAUGGGAAUAUAUUUAUUCGUGAUCGGAGGCUUUGACCUAAAGUUUCGUGGAGAAUACAAUAAGCAUGCGCAGCUGUGGAUGGAGAGUACUCAUUGUCAGCUUGUAGGAUCUUUGGCCAUUCUGUCCACAGAAGUAUCAGUUUUACUGUUAACAUUUCUGACAUUGGAAAAAUACAUCUGCAUUGUCUAUCCUUUUAGAUGUGUGAGACCUGGAAAAUGCAGAACAAUUACAGUUCUGAUUCUCAUUUGGAUUACUGGUUUUAUAGUGGCUUUCAUUCCAUUGAGCAAUAAGGAAUUUUUCAAAAACUACUAUGGCACCAAUGGAGUAUGCUUCCCUCUUCAUUCAGAAGAUACAGAAAGUAUUGGAGCCCAGAUUUAUUCAGUGGCAAUUUUUCUUGGUAUUAAUUUGGCCGCAUUUAUCAUCAUAGUUUUUUCCUAUGGAAGCAUGUUUUAUAGUGUUCAUCAAAGUGCCAUAACAGCAACUGAAAUACGGAAUCAAGUUAAAAAAGAGAUGAUCCUUGCCAAACGUUUUUUCUUUAUAGUAUUUACUGAUGCAUUAUGCUGGAUACCCAUUUUUGUAGUGAAAUUUCUUUCACUGCUUCAGGUAGAAAUACCAGGUACCAUAACCUCUUGGGUAGUGAUUUUUAUUCUGCCCAUUAACAGUGCUUUGAACCCAAUUCUCUAUACUCUGACCACAAGACCAUUUAAAGAAAUGAUUCAUCGGUUUUGGUAUAACUACAGACAAAGAAAAUCUAUGGACAGCAAAGGUCAGAAAACAUAUGCUCCAUCAUUCAUCUGGGUGGAAAUGUGGCCACUGCAGGAGAUGCCACCUGAGUUAAUGAAGCCGGACCUUUUCACAUACCCCUGUGAAAUGUCACUGAUUUCUCAAUCAACGAGACUCAAUUCCUAUUCAUGACUGACUCUGAAAUUCAUUUCUUCGCAGAGAAUACUGUGGGGGUGCUUCAUGAGGGAUUUACUGGUAUGAAAUGAAUACCACAAAAUUAAUUUAUAAUAAUAGCUAAGAUAAAUAUUUUACAAGGACAUGAGGAAAAAUAAAAAUGACUAAUGCUCUUACAAAGGGAAGUAAUUAUAUCAAUAAUGUAUAUAUAUUAGUAGACAUUUUGCAUAAGAAAUUAAGAGAAAUCUACUUCAGUAACAUUCAUUCAUUUUUCUAACAUGCAUUUAUUGAGUACCCACUACUAUGUGCAUAGCAUUGCAAUAUAGUCCUGGAAGUAGACAGUGCAGAACCUUUCAAUCUGUAGAUGGUGUUUAAUGACAAAAGACUAUACAAAGUCCAUCUGCAGUUCCUAGUUUAAAGUAGAGCUUUACCUGUCAUGUGCAUCAGCAAGAAUCAUAGGCACUUUUAAAUAAAGGUUUAAAGUUUUGGAAUACUCAGUGUAUUUGCAUCAUAGAAAAUGUCUGACUGUUUGCAAAAUAAUAUUCUGUUUUAAGAAUCCAUCUUACCUCUCUUUAAGUUUCCAUACACUUGAGAGCCAACACAACAUAUUUAUUACUAAAAAGAUGCUUUGCUAGAAACUCAAAAACAGCACUUCUUUUGGCACUUCCUGCCCAGUUUUCUCUUUGCUUUAAAUGAACAUCAUCAUAUGGAAUUGGAAUAGGAGAGUAUGAGUACGGCAGAGAAGUGGAUCAGAAAAACUAGAAUGAGGAUAAACAUUUACAUUAGUGGAAACUCCUGAAAUAAAUCCUUGUAUUGUCAGUUAACUGAUUUUCAACAAGGAUGCCAAGACAAAAAGGCUUUUCAACAAACCGUGCUGUUUUAAGAACAGACCUAAGUGGUUUAAUUCACCCACUUUAGAUGGGUGAAUGUUAUGGUGUGUGAAAUAUCUCAGUAAAGCAGUUAAAAGGAAAAAGAGCUGGAAUGCACUGAUUCAGGAACUUAAUUUCAGGAAGGAAAGGUCUGUAUGUACACAUUUCACUUUAAGCAGAAAAUCUUUCUUCAAGAAAUGACUUUACUUUCUCUUUGCACUGCCAGCACGUGAGAUACUAACUUUUUAACUAGUUGUUCUUCUCUAGUCUCUACGUUAUUAGAAUUUUUUGCUUUCAUAAUGUGAAACCUUUAAGCAGGAGAAGAAAAUGUUUUCAGAUAGUUUCAAAUACACCAAAAAUGUUUGAAACACAAAAAUACUGGAAUCAAACCAUAAUGCACUUAUUGAAUAUAUAGUUGUAUAGAUUUGUUCUGAAAAUAAAUUAUCUGAAAUUUAACUAUUAA
rnacentral:lncRNA from 1 species